UAUCCAUUCAACAGUGGAUAAAAUAUCACCCAGAUGCUAGAAGGUACUGUUGCCAUGGUGAUAAUGGCCAUGCCGUGUCAUUGUCGAUUCACUGACCAUCAGAGAAGAUUUGUAGUCAAGAUAUUGUUUAGCAGACGGAGCGGUUUCUGUGGGACACUAUGUACGGCUACAAAA